UCCCAGAGGAGACACAUCCUCCCGUCUGAGCCCCAGAGCCUGGGAAGGCGAACCGCUGGGGCUGGCGGGGCAGAGGGGACGUCUGCUCCAGGAGGAGCUGUGCGAGGGGU
ensembl:snoRNA SNORD22 Small nucleolar RNA SNORD22